rnacentral:rRNA from 1 species
CCUACGGGAGGCAGCAGUGAGGAAUAUUGGUCAAUGGGCGCGAGCCUGAACCAGCCACGUAGCGUGAAGGAUGACUGCCCUACGGGUUGUAACCUUCUUUUAUAAAGGAGUAAAGUGAGGCACGUGUCCCUUUUUGUAUGUACUUUUUUAAUAACGAUCGGCUAACUCCGUGCCAGCAGCCGCGGUAAUACGGAGGAUCCGAGCGUUAUCCGGAUUUAUUGGGUUUAAGGGGAGCGUAGAUGGGUUGUUAAGUCAGUUGUGAAAGUUUGCGGAUCAACCGUAAAAUUGCAAUUGAUACUGGCAGUCUUGAGUACAGGUGAGGUAGGCGGAAUUCGUGGUGUAGCGGUGAAAUGCGUAGAUAUAACGAAGAACUCCGAUUGCGAAGGCAGCUUACUAAACUGCCACUGACAUUGAUGCGCGAAAGUGUGGGUAUCAAACAGGAUUAGAUACCCGGGUAGUC